rnacentral:rRNA from 1 species
GGUUAAGCGACUAAGCGUACACGGUGGAUGCCCUGGCAGUCAGAGGCGAUGAAGGACGUGCUAAUCUGCGAAAAGCGUCGGUAAGGUGAUAUGAACCGUUACAGCCGGCGAUGUCCGAAUGGGGAAACCCAGUGCAAUUCGUUGCACUAUCGUUAACUGAAUACAUAGGUUAACGAGGCGAACCGGGGGAACUGAAACAUCUAAGUACCCCGAGGAAAAGAAAUCAACCGAGAUUCCCCCAGUAGCGGCGAGCGAACGGGGAGCAGCCCGGAGUCUGAAUCAGCUUGUGUGUUAGUGGAAGCGUCUGGAAAGUCGCAGGGUACAGGGUGAUACUCCCGUACACUAAAACGCACAGGUUGUGAACUCGAAGAGUAGGGCGGGACACGUGGUAUCCUGUCUGAAUAUGGGGGGACCAUCCUCCAAGGCUAAAUACUCCUGACUGACCGAUAGUGAACCAGUACCGUGAGGGAAAGGCGAAAAGAACCCCGGCGAGGGGAGUGAAAAAGAACCUGAAACCGUGUACGUACAAGCAGUAGGAGCCCACUAGUUGGGUGACUGCGUACCUUUUGUAUAAUGGGUCAGCGACUUAUAUUCUGUAGCAAGGUUAACCGUAUAGGGGAGCCGCAGGGAAACCGAGUCUUAACUGGGCGUUAAGUUGCAGGGUAUAGACCCGAAACCCGGUGAUCUAGCCAUGGGCAGGUUGAAGGUUGGGUAACACUAACUGGAGGACCGAACCGACUAAUGUUGAAAAAUUAGCGGAUGACUUGUGGCUGGGGGUGAAAGGCCAAUCAAACCGGGAGAUAGCUGGUUCUCCCCGAAAGCUAUUUAGGUAGCGCCUCGUGAAUUCAUCUUCGGGGGUAGAGCACUGUUUCGGCUAGGGGGUCAUCCCGACUUACCAACCCGAUGCAAACUACGAAUACCGAAGAAUGUUAUCACGGGAGACACACGGCGGGUGCUAACGUCCGUCGUGAAGAGGGAAACAACCCAGACCGCCAGCUAAGGUCCCAAAGUCAUGGUUAAGUGGGAAACGAUGUGGGAAGGCCCAGACAGCCAGGAUGUUGGCUUAGAAGCAGCCAUCAUUUAAAGAAAGCGUAAUAGCUCACUGGUCGAGUCGGCCUGCGCGGAAGAUGUAACGGGGCUAAACCAUGCACCGAAGCUGCGGCAGCGACACUAUGUGUUGUUGGGUAGGGGAGCGUUCUGUAAGCCGUUGAAGGUGGCCUGUGAGGGUUGCUGGAGGUAUCAGAAGUGCGAAUGCUGACAUAAGUAACGAUAAUGCGGGUGAAAAACCCGCACGCCGGAAGACCAAGGGUUCCUGUCCAACGUUAAUCGGGGCAGGGUGAGUCGACCCCUAAGGCGAGGCCGAAAGGCGUAGUCGAUGGGAAACAGGUUAAUAUUCCUGUACUCGGUGUUACUGCGAAGGGGGGACGGAGAAGGCUAUGUUGGCCGGGCGACGGUUGUCCCGGUUUAAGCAUGUAGGCGGAUGUUCCAGGUAAAUCCGGAACGUUACUAACGCUGAGGUGUGAUGACGAGGCACUACGGUGCUGAAGUGACAAAUGCCCUGCUUCCAGGAAAAGCCUCUAAGCAUCAGGUAACAUCAAAUCGUACCCCAAACCGACACAGGUGGUCAGGUAGAGAAUACCAAGGCGCUUGAGAGAACUCGGGUGAAGGAACUAGGCAAAAUGGUGCCGUAACUUCGGGAGAAGGCACGCUGAUGGUAGGUGAAGCGACUUGCUCGUGGAGCUGAAAUCAGUCGAAGAUACCAGCUGGCUGCAACUGUUUAUUAAAAACACAGCACUGUGCAAACACGAAAGUGGACGUAUACGGUGUGACGCCUGCCCGGUGCCGGAAGGUUAAUUGAUGGGGUUAUCCGUAAGGAGAAGCUCUUGAUCGAAGCCCCGGUAAACGGCGGCCGUAACUAUAACGGUCCUAAGGUAGCGAAAUUCCUUGUCGGGUAAGUUCCGACCUGCACGAAUGGCGUAAUGAUGGCCAGGCUGUCUCCACCCGAGACUCAGUGAAAUUGAACUCGCUGUGAAGAUGCAGUGUACCCGCGGCAAGACGGAAAGACCCCGUGAACCUUUACUAUAGCUUGACACUGAACACUGGUCCUUGAUGUGUAGGAUAGGUGGGAGGCUUUGAAGUGUGGACGCCAGUCUGCAUGGAGCCAUCCUUGAAAUACCACCCUUUAAUGGCUGGUGUUCUAACGUGGGCCCCUAAUCGGGGUUGCGGACAGUGUCUGGUGGGUAGUUUGACUGGGGCGGUCUCCUCCUAAAGAGUAACGGAGGAGCACGAAGGUCAGCUAAUCCUGGUCGGACAUCAGGAGGUUAGUGCAAUGGCAUAAGCUGGCUUGACUGCGAGCGUGACGGCGCGAGCAGGUGCGAAAGCAGGUCAUAGUGAUCCGGUGGUUCUGAAUGGAAGGGCCAUCGCUCAACGGAUAAAAGGUACUCCGGGGAUAACAGGCUGAUACCGCCCAAGAGUUCAUAUCGACGGCGGUGUUUGGCACCUCGAUGUCGGCUCAUCACAUCCUGGGGCUGAAGUAGGUCCCAAGGGUAUGGCUGUUCGCCAUUUAAAGUGGUACGCGAGCUGGGUUUAGAACGUCGUGAGACAGUUCGGUCCCUAUCUGCCGUGGGCGCUGGAGAAUUGAGGGGGGCUGCUCCUAGUACGAGAGGACCGGAGUGGACGCAUCACUGGUGUUCGGGUUGUCAUGCCAAUGGCAUUGCCCGGUAGCUAAAUGCGGAAGAGAUAAGUGCUGAAAGCAUCUAAGCACGAAACUUGCCCCGAGAUGAGUUCUCCCUGACCCUUUAAGGGUCCUGAAGGAACGUUGAAGACGACGACGUUGAUAGGCCGGGUGUGUAAGCGCAGCGAUGCGUUGAGCUAACCGGUACUAAUGAACCGUGAGGCUUAACCUU